rnacentral:rRNA from 1 species
ACGGGAGGCAGCAGUGGGGAAUAUUGGGCAAUGGGGGAAACUCUGACCCAGCAACGCCGCGUGAAGGAUGAAGGUCUUCGGAUUGUAAACUUCUUUUAUAGGGGACGAAGAAAGUGAUGGUACCCUAUGAAUAAGCUACGGCAAACUAUGUGCCAGCAGCCGCGGUAAUACAUAGGUAGCAAGCGUUAUCCGGAAUAACUGGGCGUAAAGGGAGCGUAGGUGGCGAGGUAAGUCUCAUGUGAAAUCCCUUGGCUUAACCAAGGAACUGCAUGAGAUACUGCUUUGCUAGAGUGCGAGAGAGGUAAGUGGAAUUCCUAGUGUAGCGGUAGAAUGCGUAGAGAUUAGGAGGAACACCAGUGGCGAAGGCGGCUUACUGGACGGUAACUGACGAUGAGGCGCGAAAGCGUGGGGAGCAAACAGGAUUAGAUACCCUGGUA